UGGGAUGAUGAGUUCAGCCUUGUCCGAGCUGUGACGAGGGAGUGACGGACUGACC
rnacentral:snoRNA from 19 species